rfam:Ciona savignyi cont_50640, whole genome shotgun sequence.
UUGGUUCAUGUGCUUGGCUGAUAAGCCAAUGGUGCGAAGCUACCAUCUGAGGGAUUAUGACUGAACGCCUCUAAGUCAGAAUCCCGCCUGGAAAAGCGACGAUGCAUUCGUGCCUCGGCCUCGAGAGGCGUAGCUAGACGGCCGUGUGGCCGUGGAAAGAGCCCGAUUCCGACCCGAGAGGCCGCGGCAAGAGGCGGCCUCGAAGUCGGUGGAUCCUCCUGCUCGAAAGGCGGGGUGCUAAACCAUUCGCAGACGACCUAGUUGAAGAUCGGGGUGUCGUGAUCACUAGAGCAGUACAUCUCACUGCGAUUUGUUGAGAGUAAGCCUCAAGAUCUGUCGGUUUGU